GGGUUGUGAGGUUAAGCGACUAAGCGUACACGGUGGAUGCCCUGGCAGUCAGAGGCGAUGAAGGACGUGCUAAUCUGCGAAAAGCGUCGGUAAGGUGAUAUGAACCGUUAUAACCGGCGAUGUCCGAAUGGGGAAACCCAGUGCAAUUCGUUGCACUAUCGUUAACUGAAUACAUAGGUUAACGAGGCGAACCGGGGGAACUGAAACAUCUAAGUACCCCGAGGAAAAGAAAUCAACCGAGAUUCCCCCAGUAGCGGCGAGCGAACGGGGAGCAGCCCAGAGUCUGAAUCAGCUUGUGUGUUAGUGGAACGGUCUGGAAAGUCCGACGGUACAGGGUGAUAGUCCCGUACACCAAAAUGCACAGGCUGUGAACUCGAAGAGUAGGGCGGGACACGUGGUAUCCUGUCUGAAUAUGGGGGGACCAUCCUCCAAGGCUAAAUACUCCUGACUGACCGAUAGUGAACCAGUACCGUGAGGGAAAGGCGAAAAGAACCCCGGCGAGGGGAGUGAAAAAGAACCUGAAACCGUGUACGUACAAGCAGUGGGAGCACCUUCGGGUGUGACUGCGUACCUUUUGUAUAAUGGGUCAGCGACUUAUAUUCUGUAGCAAGGUUAACCGUAUAGGGGAGCCGCAGGGAAACCGAGUCUUAACUGGGCGUUAAGUUGCAGGGUAUAGACCCGAAACCCGGUGAUCUAGCCAUGGGCAGGUUGAAGGUUGGGUAACACUAACUGGAGGACCGAACCGACUAAUGUUGAAAAAUUAGCGGAUGACUUGUGGCUGGGGGUGAAAGGCCAAUCAAACCGGGAGAUAGCUGGUUCUCCCCGAAAGCUAUUUAGGUAGCGCCUCGUGAACUCAUCUUCGGGGGUAGAGCACUGUUUCGGCUAGGGGGUCAUCCCGACUUACCAACCCGAUGCAAACUACGAAUACCGAAGAAUGUUAUCACGGGAGACACACGGCGGGUGCUAACGUCCGUCGUGAAGAGGGAAACAACCCAGACCGCCAGCUAAGGUCCCAAAGUCAUGGUUAAGUGGGAAACGAUGUGGGAAGGCACAGACAGCCAGGAUGUUGGCUUAGAAGCAGCCAUCAUUUAAAGAAAGCGUAAUAGCUCACUGGUCGAGUCGGCCUGCGCGGAAGAUGUAACGGGGCUAAACCAUGCACCGAAGCUGCGGCAGCGACACUAUGUGUUGUUGGGUAGGGGAGCGUUCUGUAAGCCUGCGAAGGUGACCUGUGAGGGUUGCUGGAGGUAUCAGAAGUGCGAAUGCUGACAUAAGUAACGAUAAAGCGGGUGAAAAGCCCGCUCGCCGGAAGACCAAGGGUUCCUGUCCAACGUUAAUCGGGGCAGGGUGAGUCGACCCCUAAGGCGAGGCCGAAAGGCGUAGUCGAUGGGAAACAGGUUAAUAUUCCUGUACUUGGUGUUACUGCGAAGGGGGGACGGAGAAGGCUAUGUUAGCCGGGCGACGGUUGUCCCGGUUUAAGCAUGUAGGCUGGUUGUCCACGCAAAUCCGGAUAAUCAAGGCUGAGGUGUGAUGACGAGGCACUACGGUGCUGAAGUAACAAAUGCCCUGCUUCCAGGAAAAGCCUCUAAGCAUCAGGUAACAUCAAAUCGUACCCCAAACCGACACAGGUGGUCAGGUAGAGAAUACCAAGGCGCUUGAGAGAACUCGGGUGAAGGAACUAGGCAAAAUGGUGCCGUAACUUCGGGAGAAGGCACGCUGGUGUGUAGGUGAAGUCCCUGCGGAUGGAGCUGAGACCAGUCGAAGAUACCAGCUGGCUGCAACUGUUUAUUAAAAACACAGCACUGUGCAAACACGAAAGUGGACGUAUACGGUGUGACGCCUGCCCGGUGCCGGAAGGUUAAUUGAUGGGGUUAUCCGUAAGGAGAAGCUCUUGAUCGAAGCCCCGGUAAACGGCGGCCGUAACUAUAACGGUCCUAAGGUAGCGAAAUUCCUUGUCGGGUAAGUUCCGACCUGCACGAAUGGCGUAAUGAUGGCCAGGCUGUCUCCACCCGAGACUCAGUGAAAUUGAACUCGCUGUGAAGAUGCAGUGUACCCGCGGCAAGACGGAAAGACCCCGUGAACCUUUACUAUAGCUUGACACUGAACAUUGAGCCUUGAUGUGUAGGAUAGGUGGGAGGCUUUGAAGCGUGGACGCCAGUCUGCGUGGAGCCAACCUUGAAAUACCACCCUUUAAUGUUUGAUGUUCUAACGUUGGCCCCUGACCGGGGUUGCGGACAGUGUCUGGUGGGUAGUUUGACUGGGGCGGUCUCCUCCCAAAGCGUAACGGAGGAGCACGAAGGUUAGCUAAUCCUGGUCGGACAUCAGGAGGUUAGUGCAAUGGCAUAAGCUAGCUUGACUGCGAGCGUGACGGCGCGAGCAGGUGCGAAAGCAGGUCAUAGUGAUCCGGUGGUUCUGAAUGGAAGGGCCAUCGCUCAACGGAUAAAAGGUACUCCGGGGAUAACAGGCUGAUACCGCCCAAGAGUUCAUAUCGACGGCGGUGUUUGGCACCUCGAUGUCGGCUCAUCACAUCCUGGGGCUGAAGUAGGUCCCAAGGGUAUGGCUGUUCGCCAUUUAAAGUGGUACGCGAGCUGGGUUUAGAACGUCGUGAGACAGUUCGGUCCCUAUCUGCCGUGGGCGCUGGAGAAUUGAGGGGGGCUGCUCCUAGUACGAGAGGACCGGAGUGGACGCAUCACUGGUGUUCGGGUUGUCAUGCCAAUGGCACUGCCCGGUAGCUAAAUGCGGAAGAGAUAAGUGCUGAAAGCAUCUAAGCACGAAACUUGCCCCGAGAUGAGUUCUCCCUGAGACUUUAAGUCUCCUGAAGGAACGUUAAAGACGAUGACGUUGAUAGGCCGGGUGUGUAAGCGCAGCGAUGCGUUGAGCUAACCGGUACUAAUGAACCGUGAGGCUUAACCUUACAACGCCGAAG
rnacentral:rRNA from 1 species